CUUCCUACGGGGGGCAGCAGUGGGGAAUAUUGGACAAUGGGGGGAACCCUGAUCCAGCGACGCCGCGUGAGUGAAGAAGUAUUUCGGUAUGUAAAGCUCUAUCAGCAGGGAAGAAAGAAAUGACGGUACCUGACUAAGAAGCCCCGGCUAACUACGUGCCAGCAGCCGCGGUAAUACGUAGGGGGCAAGCGUUAUCCGGAUUUACUGGGUGUAAAGGGAGCGUAGGCGGCUGUGUAAGCCAGAAGUGAAAGCCCGGGGCUCAACUCCGGGACUGCUUUUGGAACUACAUGGCUUGAUUGCAGGAG
rnacentral:rRNA from 1 species